GAUUCCCAAAGUAACGGCGAGUGAACUGGGAACAGCCCAACGCUGAAUCUUUCGAUUUUAUAUCGUGAAGAAAUGUAGCGUAUAGGUAUGGUUGUCGGUUUGUUUAGCAUGUCCAAAGUUCCUUUGAUAGGGGCCAUAUUCCGAAGAGGGUGCGAGACCUGUGCGGACAGUUGAACAUGCCGUAUGAUUAUACCAUAGAGUCGGGUUGCUUGAAAGUGCAGCCUUAAGUGGGUGAUAAACUUCAUCUAAGGCUAAAUACGAACGCGAAUUCGAUAGCAAACAAGUACUGUGAAGGAAAGUUGCAAAGAACUUUGAAGAGAGAGUUCAAGAGAACGUGAAAUCGUUGAAGUGGAACCGGAGAGAGUUGACGUAGUCUGGUGGAUAAGUAUUGCAAGAAUCGUAUUCAUAUAUGUAUAUUUAUGAAUGUGAUUAAGUAAUAUGUAUGCCAUCAAUGACUGUGCUGACAGUAUCGGUUACACGAUCUGAACCGUGUUGACAUGUUGCCCGUUCUAUUCUAUGGAAUGGUGUCUUGUGUUACGUGGUAAGGUUUGUUGUUAGCUGAUAUUGAUUAAUGAUGAUUAUUUCGAAAUAAUUAUUAUGUCAGCAUAGCAGUCAAUCAACUCUCCGACCCGUCUUGAAACACGGACCGAGGAGUGUAAUUUGUACGCGAGUGAAUAGGUGAAAAAUCUUAAUAAAGCGAAAUGAAAGUGAAGGCACGGUUAACCGGCUGACAUGGGAAACGUCUUUCGUUUACAUACAUAUACAUAUGGCGAGACGUCACACCAUGGCCCUGUCUUGUCUGCAUGCAGAUGGGCAGCGGUAGAGCGUACAGGUUGCGACCCGAAAGAUGGUGAACUAUGCCUGAGCAGGACGAAGUCAGAGGAAACUCUGAUGGAAGUCCGUAUCGGUUCUGACGUGCAAAUCGAUCGAUAGACUUAGGUAUAGGGGCGAAAGACUAAUCGAACC
rnacentral:rRNA from 1 species